rnacentral:rRNA from 1 species
UACGUAGGGGGCUAGCGUUGUCCGGAUUUACUGGGCGUAAAGGGCGCGUAGGCGGUCAGCACAAGUCAGUUGUGAAAUCUCCGAGCUUAACUCGGAAAGGUCAACUGAUACUGUGCGACUAGAGUGCGGAAGGGGCAACUGGAAUUCUUGGUGUAGCGGUGAAAUGCGUAGAUAUCAAGAGGAACACCUGCGGCGAAGGCGGGUUGCUGGGCCGACACUGACGCUGAGGCGCGAAAGCUAGGGGAGCGAACGGG